UGAUCACUAGAAGCUGAAUUCAGGUUUUCGUUAGAUAGCUGAAGUGUGCAUGGUCCUUUCAUGCUAAUUUUGUCAUGCCCCAGAAUGGUGAUAGUUUUCAUCUCGACUCUCUUCGCUAAUGUGGUUGAUGUGUUCUUUUAUAAUAUUCAUCUUUUACCAAAGCGGGGUUGCACUGGGUACCGGCAUUUAAACAUGAGGCAAAGCACUCUGAUCCAUAACCAUUCAGCUUCAAAUUGGCGGAUGGGAAGAUUGUGCACCAUUAAAAUAUUUUAUGUCUCCUUUUUCUUUUCUUUUUCAUGCUUCACUUUUAAUUGGUUUAUGUGGAUGUAGCUUUUGUAGUCGACCACUGUUUUGAGUUAAAUUGUUUGGAGACAAUGAUGGUUUAUGCUAUUUACUUACCCCGCAUAAGAGAGUAACAUUUUCUUCUU